rnacentral:rRNA from 1 species
AUACGUAGGGGGCGAGCGUUGUCCGGAAUGAUUGGGCGUAAAGGGCGCGUAGGCGGCCCGGUAAGUCUGGAGUGAAAGUCCUGUUUUUAAGAUGGGAAUUGCUUUGGAUACUGUCGGGCUUGAGUGCAGGAGAGGUUAUCGGAAUUCCCGGUGUAGCGGUGAAAUGCGUAGAGAUCGGGAGGAACACCAGUGGCGAAGGCGGGUAACUGGACUGCAACUGACGCUGAGGCGCGAAAGUGUGGGGAGCAAACAGGAUUAGAUACCCUGGUAGUCCACACUGUAAACGAUGAAUGCUAGGUGUAGGGGGUAUCGACCCCUUCUGUGCCGCAGUCAACACAAUAAGCAUUCCGCCUGGGGAGUACGGCCGCAAGGUUGAAACUCAAAUGAAUUGACGGGG